rnacentral:sRNA from 1 species
UAUGACAGAAUUGUUCCCCUUUAAAAGAUC